CUUUAUAUAUCGUGAUCUUACACAUUUUAUGCACAUUUUGCAAGAAAAAUGACGUUAAAUUAUAUAACCACAAUACUAUAUGUUCUUUUUCAGAAAUCUACUGUUAGGAGUUUGAAUUUUUGAAACAGUUCUUUUUCACCACGAAAAUCUGUCAGCUGGCGUCUCAAUUUCGAAACGAUCCGAAACGUAUCGUCAGUUCUAUUUUUUUAACAAUGUCAGGAACACCACAAGUAUGACUACUGACCAUCAGAAUCUAUCGUGUAUUCAACGAAUGUUUCUGCUGCGUGGUAUUUUACCGCAGCGUCGAGUGACAUGAUCCAGAAAUGCAGCGAGCACACAUGUGUCUUUAACCUUUUAUUCCACUGCAAAAGCUUCGGUUCUUUCGACGAACUUGAGAGACACGUUUUGCUGCAAAUGGACUUCUGAAAUCGAUUAUUACUUCGGAAUAAUAACCGAGGGACCAGUCAACCAACGAAUUUCCUCGUAGCAGCGAGAUGUAACAAGCCUCGAGCAAACAUUGCAAAGAAAUCAACAGUAUUUGCAAAAGGUUGAAUCAUUGAAGAAGGGGCCGGAAGCACGUUUCCUCGUUUCAAUUUAUUGCAGAAACAGAGUUCGGUGGAAGUGAGUUACGUACGCUCUACAUACGGUUUUGUCGGCACACACAGACGUUCGACCUGCAGAGAUAGAAAACCGGUCAACUCCGAGUAUCGAGGGAAUCUUAUCGCUGUGCAAAGCGCGCGACGAAGAGCACGAUGUGGCGGAGUCGUCGUUCGGCACUUUGAUGUGGGUGUGCACGCGCGAUAUUGCGGUAACACGGAUUCCUGGAACCGUUUUCAACGAAAAAGAGGCCCGACGAUCCUUUAUUUCCUUAGAUAACCGAUAAUCGGCUCCGUCGGCACCGAUGAUGUCACAGCUCCCGUUCUGUUCACGAUUUUUCGCUCGACACGCUGCGUGUCUAUUUACUCGAUUUCGUUUUUUAUCGAAAUGUCCACUGGCUAUAAAUU